rnacentral:lncRNA from 1 species
UUUUUUUUGAUCAUACAGAAAAAAAUGGCUGAAGAAUGAACUCNUGAACUCAUCCAUCACGACCUCACCCAUCAACACUGAAUAAAAGGAAAUUGGAAUUCAUUGGAAGAUCUGUUUUUAACUUUUGUCUCCACUGAAAACCUUCCACCUAUGUUCCUCCUGAGAUAAAUAAGGUGAAAAGAUCGCUGUCCAGAGACCAUGGUGCUGAACACAAUACCUGCCUAGGGCUAUGAUCAGGGGAGUUUCCUGUGCUUUGAUCACAAAGGAGAUAUAGCUGAUCUGAUGCUCAAAGAAAAGAUUUUGGCUACAUUUUGUGACAUAUCCAGCUUCGCAAGACAACGAAUUUUACAG